GACGAACGCUGGCGGCGUGCUUAACACAUGCAAGUCGAACGGAAAGGCCCUGCUUUUGUGGGGUGCUCGAGUGGCGAACGGGUGAGUAACACGUGAGUAACCUGCCCUUGACUUUGGGAUAACUUCAGGAAACUGGGGCUAAUACCGGAUAGGAGCUCCUGCUGCAUGGUGGGGGUUGGAAAGUUUCGGCGGUUGGGGAUGGACUCGCGGCUUAUCAGCUUGUUGGUGGGGUAGUGGCUUACCAAGGCUUUGACGGGUAGCCGGCCUGAGAGGGUGACCGGCCACAUUGGGACUGAGAUACGGCCCAGACUCCUACGGGAGGCAGCAGUGGGGAAUAUUGCACACUGGGCGGAAGCCUGAUGCAGCACCGCCGCGUGCGGGAUGACGGCCUUCGGGUUGUAAACCGCUUUCGCCUGUGACGAAGCGUGAGUGACGGUAAUGGGUAAAGAAGCACCGGCUAACUACGUG
rnacentral:rRNA from 1 species